CCCUUAGAUGUCCUGGGCUGCACGCGCGCUACACUGAUGUGUCCAGUAAGCACCUAACCUCUUCCGAAAUGAACGGGUAACCUUUGCAAAGCACAUCGUGAUGGGGAUAGAUUAUUGCAAUUAUUAGUCUUGAACGAGGAAUUCCUAGUAAGCACAAGUCAUCAGCUUGUGUUGAUUACGUCCCUGCCCUUUGUACACACCGCCCGUCGCUCCUACCGAUUGAAUGUUCCGGUGAGCUCUUCGGACUGCGCGGUCUGCAGUUUCUGCGUUCCGUGCGGAAAGUUGCGCAAACCUUAACAUUUAGAGGAAGGAGAAGUCGUAACA
rnacentral:rRNA from 1 species